GGAUUAGAUACCCUGGUAGUCCACGCUGUAAACGAUGCAUGCUAGUUGUUGUCCCUUCGGGGGCAGUGACGCAGUUAACGCAGUAAGCAUGCCACCUGGGGAGUACGUUCGCAAGAAUGAAACUCAAAGGAAUUGACGGGGGCCCGCACAAGCGGUGGAGCAUGUGGCUUAAUUCGAUGCAACGCGAAGAACCUUACCUAGGCUAAAUCUCCGGUGACCGCUCCUGAAAGGGAGCUUCCCUUCGGGGCACCGGAGAAGGUGCUGCAUGGCUGUCGUCAGCUCGUGCCG
rnacentral:rRNA from 1 species